rnacentral:lncRNA from 1 species
GUGCGGCGGGGGCGGCGGAGUGCUCCCUCCAAGACCGGUUGCACCCCGCUUUCCUGGCCAGGACUCUGGCGCGCUAAGGAGGCGCGGGUCCACAGAGCCAGGGGAAAGGGUCACUGUGGAUCAAGCCAGGCUCCUCUGAGCAGUCCAGGGUCUAUUUACAGAGAGCAGCAAGUUCCUGGGACAGAGGAGAGAGAAGGGAAUUUCCAGGUUCUUCAGGACGUUCACAACCACACUGAGAAGCAUCUUUGCAGAUAAGUAUUUAAACUUACCAGCCCAUAGCCUACCAGCCUGCCCUCUUCUGGUCUGUGCAGGAAAGUGUAGUAUCCUAGAAUACCAAAGUGGGAGGGGAAACGGGUGAUGUAGCUCAUUCUCUUUUCUACCUCUAUGGAAGAAAGAAAGAGCCUGUCCCCAUUUUGUGGGGUCCCAGAAAGGGUGAUUUUUCACACUCCACAUUUGGCAUUAGGGCUAGUAUUUUAUAAACGUCACUGUAUGGAACUUUUGAAGGCUGAGUUAAAUGACUUCAUCUUGUGUACUUGUAGAACUGCUAUUAGAAGGAGGCUGGGGACUCCCUGAUGAUGUGA